ACGAACGCUGGCGGCGCGCUUAACACCUGCAAGUCGAACGGAAAGGCCUGCUUUCCCUUGUGGAUUGCGGGUACUCGAGUGGCGAACGGGUGAGUAACACGUGAGUGAUCUGCCCCCAACUUGGGUAUAAGCCUGGGAAACUGGGUCUAAUUCCCGAUAGGACUGCAGGGUGGUGCCUGUGGUGGAAAACGAUUUUCUAGUGGUUGGGGAUGAGCUCGCGGCCUAUCAGCUUGUUGGUGGGGUAAUGGCCUACCAAGGCGGCGACGGGUAGCCGGCCUGAGGGGGUGGACGGCCACAUUGGGACUGAGAUACGGCCCAGACUCCUACGGGAGGCAGCAGUGGGGAAUAUUGCACAAUGGGCGGAAGCCUGAUGCAGCGACGCCGCGUGGGGGAUGACGGCCUUCGGGUUGUAAACUCCUUUCGACCGCGAGGAAGCCACCUGGUUGGAAGGGUGGUGACGGUAGUGGUAGAAGAAGCACCGGCUAACUACGUG
rnacentral:rRNA from 1 species